rnacentral:lncRNA from 10 species
CUGCUAUAUCACACAAAAUUUCCAGUAAAAAUGUACAAAUUAAGAGCUCAUUAAUUGUUGGAAGUAGCCCUGGGUUUAAUUGCUCUGAUGUCCUAACUAAUGAUGAUCCUAAUAUUGAACUCACUGCUGCUCAUCGGAGUCCUAGAUCUCCAUCAGGUGGGAGAAGUGGGAUUUGUUGGCCUACCUUUGCUUCAGCUCAUAACAUGGCACCCCGAAAGCCCCAUGCAGGAAUCAUGAGUUACAAUGCCAUCAGUGGCCUUUUGGACAUCUCAGGCAAGUACACAGUCUUUUACAAAUCUUCUCAAUUAAUUUCUGUAAAGAAUAUGUAGAGGAUAACUAAUAAUGUUUCAUUGUUAGUAAAAAUGAUUUAAGUGAAUUUUUAUAGCAAUCUGCUCAAUAUGACAAAGAAAUCAGACAUCAGAGUCAAUUUUGAGAAUGGUUUCUUGGCAGGAUUCUUAUACUGUAUGUUGAAGAAUUGAUGUUAAAUUUUCCUUCUAAAACAACAACAAAACACUGGCAUUUGUGAUUUAAUAUUAAUUUGUAUAAUUUGUAAAUGCCCUUUCAUGUAAGUAGGAUUAUAUAUUAUCAUCCCUUUUUAAAAUUGAAGAACCUUAAGCUCAAAGAACUUAGUGCCUGGCCAAAUUCCCACAGCUAUUGGCACAGCUAGGAUUAGAAUCAAAAUCUUCUGAUUCAAACUCCACUGCUCUUUCACUGAACCAGGAUGGCUGCUUAGAAAUGUAAAAUAAUUAUAUAUAAAUUAAUGUAGUAAACACAUCAAUUAUUUUCAUUUGGCCUAUUAAAUAACAC